CUUCAACUUCUCCUCUUGAAGACUUCAAAGUUCAACCUCCAAAAACCAACUGAAACUCUCUCUCUUUCUCUCUCUCUCUCUCUCUCUCUCUAGAAAAUGAGAACCCAUGUGGGACUUAAGCUCAACCUCAACUCUUUACACACAAUCUUGAUCAUCAUACUUUCUUCACUCUUGAUCCAUGCACACUCACAAACUGAUGCUGAAGUUAUGUUUUCACUCAAGAAAGCACUCAAUCCACCAAACCUUGACUGGUCCGACCCGGACCCGUGCAAAUGGGCCCACGUAGUUUGCUCAGAUGAUAACCGGGUGACCCGGAUUCAAAUCGGGCAUCAAAACCUUCAAGGCACACUCCCACCAACCCUCUCAAACCUCACUCAACUUGAGCGGUUGGAGCUCCAAUGGAACAACAUUUCGGGUCCUUUACCCGGGUUAAACGGGUUAGCAUCUUUACAAGUGUUGAUGAUCAGCAACAACAUGUUUACUUCAAUCCCAAAUGAUUUCUUUACUGGUAUGUCUUCUUUACAAUCUUUAGAACUUGAUAACAACCCGUUUGCUAAAUGGGUUAUACCCGAAAGCCUCAAAGAUGCUUCAACUCUUCAGAAUUUUUCAGCUGUUAAUGCUAACAUAAUGGGUACCAUACCCGAAUUCUUCGGGUCGGAUAGUUUUCCGGGUUUGGUUAACUUGCAUUUGGCUAUAAAUGGGUUAGAAGGGAAACUACCCAUGAGUUUAUCCGGGUCACAACUUGAAUCUUUAUGGGUUAAUGGGAACAAACUAAGUGGGAAGAUUGAUGUUAUACAAAACAUGACAUUCUUGAAGGAAGUCUGGCUGCAUUCGAAUUCGUUUUCGGGUCCUUUGCCCGAUUUUUCGGGUUUGAAAGGGUUGGAGGUGUUUAGUGUUAGGGAUAAUUCUUUCACUGGGCCUGUUCCUGAGUCUUUGACGAGUCUUGAAUCUUUAAAGUCUGUUAAUUUAACUAAUAACAUGCUGCAAGGACCAAUGCCUAAGUUUAGAGACUCGGUUUCGGUUGAUAUUGUUAAGGGGAGUAAUGAUUUUUGCUUGCCUGAGGUUGGUGAUUGUGAUCCUCGGGUUGUUACGUUGUUGUUGAUCGCGAAAUCCAUGGAUUAUCCUGCCAAGUUUGCGAGUAAUUGGAAAGGGAAUGAUCCUUGUGCGGAUUGGAUUGGGAUCACUUGUAAUAAUGAUAAUGUUACUAUUAUAAAUUUUCAGAAAAUGGGGCUUUCGGGUACAAUUUCUCCUGCGUUUUCGGAGCUGAAAUCGCUUCAAAGGAUUGUGCUUGCGAAUAAUAAUCUCACUGGCACGAUUCCGGAAUCGCUCGCUACACUUCCGGCGCUUAGUGAGUUAGAUCUUGAGAAUAAUAAUCUGUAUGGUAAAGUGCCGGUUUUCAAGAGUAAUUUGAAGGUGAACACGAGUGGGAAUCCGGAUAUAGGGAAGGACCGAAGCAGUUCUAGUGAUCCGAACUCGCAAAACCCUUCGGGUUCACCAAAUGCAGAUGGGGUUUCACUACAUCCUAAAAAGAGUUCGAAAAGCUGGAUUGGUGUCGUGUUGUUUUCGAUUCUUGGAGGUGUUUUGGUCAUGUUUUUCAUCGGUGGGCUCGCGUUCUGUCUUUACAAGAAGAAGCAGCAGAAGUCUAGUAGAGGUCAAAGCCCUCAUGCCAUAGUGAUCCACCCUUGUAACUCGGGGUCCGAUAACGAAAGCGUGAAGAUCACUGUUGCUGGCUCGAGUGUCAGCGUUGGUGGGCUCACUGAAACGCACACGGUUCCCACAAACGAUGGGUCCGAUAUCCAGAUGGUGGAGGCUGGAAACAUGGUCAUUUCAAUUCAAGUCCUGAAAACUGUCACCAACAACUUUGCGGAAGAGAAUAUAUUGGGACAGGGAGGUUUCGGAACGGUUUACAAAGGGGAAUUACACGAUGGAACGAAAAUAGCCGUUAAGCGAAUGGAAUGUGGCGUGAUCACCGGAAAAGGGUUAGCCGAAUUCCAAUCGGAAAUCGCAGUUUUAACCAAAGUUAGGCAUAGAAAUCUUGUGGCGCUACUUGGUUACUGUCUCGACGGGAACGAGAAGCUACUUGUGUAUGAGUAUAUGCCACAAGGAACAUUAAGCCGACAUUUGUUUAACUGGCCCGAAGAAGGGCUGAACCCGUUGGAAUGGACCCGCCGGUUAGCCAUCGCGUUGGAUGUGGCUCGCGGGGUAGAGUAUCUUCACGGUUUAGCACAACAAAGUUUCAUUCACCGAGACUUGAAACCUUCCAAUAUCCUCCUCGGUGAUGAUAUGCGAGCCAAAGUUGGUGAUUUCGGCCUUGUUCGCCUUGCUCCGGAAGGUAAGGGCUCCGUCGAGACCAGGAUCGCUGGAACGUUCGGCUAUCUAGCCCCCGAAUAUGCAAUUACCGGCCGAGUAACAACCAAAGUCGACGUGUUCAGCUUCGGCGUGAUCCUCAUGGAGCUAAUCACAGGCCGAAAAGCCCUAGACGAGAGCCAGCCCGAAGAAAGCAUGCACCUAGUAACAUGGUUCCGAAGAAUCCACCUCAACAAAGACACAUUCCGCAAAUCAAUCGAUCAAACCCUCGACCUCACAGAAGAAAACUUAGCAAGUAUUAGCAAAGCAGCGGAGCUCGCGGGCCAUUGCUGUGCCCGAGAGCCCUACCAACGGCCCGACAUGAGCCACGCGGUCAACGUACUCUCUUCUCUUGUUGAAAUGUGGAAACCGUCUGAUCAAAGCUCGGAUGACAUAUACGGAAUUGAUCUUGAUCUUUCGCUACCUCAAGCGUUGCAGAAAUGGCAAGCGUUUGAAGGCGGAAGCCAUACGAUGGACGCUUCAUCAUCGUCGUUUGUUCUGAGUUUGGAUAACACGCAGACGAGCAUACCUACACGGCCGUAUGGAUUUGCUGAGUCGUUUACGUCUAUGGAUGGAAGAUGAUGGAUGAGAAGCGGGUAAUUUUUUUAAAAAAAAUUAUAGUUUUUGUGAUUGGUUUGGUUUUUUUAAUAUUUAUUUUAAAUCUGACUUUUGGUGUAGGAUCUUUUUUUAUAUAUACUUUUGGUAGGGUUUUUUUUUUUUUUUUGGUUGUAAUGUAACCUUGGAAAUUGUGGUGGGGGACGGUUGUUGGGUUGUGCUUUAAUGUUUUUUUCGGUUAAUGAUUGAAAAGGUGUUACUUUGAGGUUGUAAAGAAAGGGGUAAGAAUGACCCCGCUAUGAUUUAUUAUGAUUUUAACUAAUUUAUUUAUAUGAGAAAUGUUAACGCUG